rnacentral:rRNA from 1 species
UUUAAUAGCUGCAGUAUUUUAACUGUACUAAGGUAGCAUAAUAAUUAGUCUUUUAAUUGAGGUCUCGUAUGAAUGGUUUGACAAGAAAAUUUCUUUAUUAAUUUAAUUUAAUUAAUUUUAUUUUUUAGUUAAAAAGCUAAAAUUUUAAAAUGGGACGAUAAGACCCUAUAGAUCUUUAAAUUUGUAUUCAUCUUUAUAUAUAAGUUAAUUUAAAAUUAAUUAAUAAAAAUUUUUUGUUGGGGUGACAAUUAAAAUUUUAAAACUUUAAUAUUUAUACACAUAAAUUUAUGUAUUUUAUGAACUUUAAUUUAGGUUUAUUAAAUUAAGAUACCUUAGGGAUAACAGCGUAAUAUAUUUUUAUAGUUCUUAUAGAUAAAUAUGUUUACGACCUCGAUGUUGAAUUAAUCAAAAGUUUUGGAGCAGAAUAUAAAAUUUUAGGUCUGUUCGACCUUUAAACGGUUACA